rnacentral:rRNA from 1 species
UACGUAGGGCGCAAGCGUUAUCCGGAAUUAUUGGGCGUAAAGAGCUCGUAGGCGGCUUGUUGCGUCGACCGUGAAAACCCGGGGCUCAACUUCGGGCUUGCGGUCGAUACGGGCGGGCUAGAGUUCGGUAGGGGAGACUGGAAUUCCUGGUGUAGCGGUGAAAUGCGCAGGAUAUCAGGAGGAACACCGGUGGCGAAGGCGGGUCUCUGGGCCGAUACUGACGUGAGGAGCGAAAGCGUGGGGAGCGAACAGG